rnacentral:lncRNA from 1 species
AUCCAUAGGAAGAAGGAAGCUCUCAGCCCCGUGAUGUCGUGGCACAAAGUCAGAGGCCAGGAGAGCUCAACUCACUCAGCAGGGCAUGAAGAAGAAAACUCAUUCAGAAGCAGGGGCAGUCUGACGACUGAGGAUAUGAA